GGAGAAGGCAAAGCUGCGCCCUCCCCCUCCCGCCCUUGUUUUCGAGGAGCGCGCGGUGAGUGACGUCACGGGUGGAGGUUUGUGAAAGGCAAACCGCCCUUUCCGUCUCCCGCCUUUCUUUCUUUCUUUCUUUUCGAGGAGGGCGCCUCUAAAGUAGCCUGGAAGGCGCCAUUAGGCGGGAAAGAAGCUCCCUUCCUUCACAGAAGCCUCACAGAGCAUCCAUGGGAACACAGGAAUGCUGGGCCACUCUGACAACCACCAUGACAGACUACACAGAGAAGCCACAAGCACGUGAAAUCCACAAGCACGUGGACAAUUUCAACAGAAAGGAGGAAACCAUGACAAUGAACAAAAUCUGGCUACCAGUAUUUUUUUAAAACUCUAAAAGCAGGACAGUAAAUAAAGAAUUACAUUCAGAAGAUGGGAAUUCCAGGGCUAGCUAAUACCACCCAACAAAGGAUUCUCCCAGGUAGAAGCAGCCAGGCUUUGAAGCUGCAAGGCCAUUCAAUGCUAAUCAUGAAAAUAAUAUUAUAAUGUAAUACAAUAUUAUACUAAUAAUAAUAUUGAUGAAGAUUGAAAAAUAUGGAUUUUUAGACAUAUAUUGUAUGCACAUUAGAAGCAGCGAAAUGUAGAAAAAUCAGACUCUCUGUGUUAGAUUUUAGGGAUGCACAAGCUGACAGGACAGAGGGGAGAAGGGGGGCAGUUAUCUAUACAUUCCAGUGUGAAUUGGUUCCUAGCACAGCUUAAUGGAAGGAGAGCUGACCUCUCCCCCUCCCUUUUGACAAGGGGCCAUGAUUAAUCUACAAAAGCUGAGCCGUGGUGUCUGUGACUUACUACACGCUUUUAGAGUGCUUAGAUAGGAAAAUGCUGAUUGUGCAUAUUUAUGUCCAUGUAUGUAAGCAUGUGAAGUGACGUACUAAUGACGAGAUGUAUGUAGAAGCAUGUUCUUUGUCUGAAAAUGUAUAAAAGGCGAGUCAACGCCUUGAUCUCGUCCCUCUGGUUUGCUUUUUUGGAAGAGAUUCCACUUCCAGAGACUCAGCUGAAAUAAUAAACCGGACUUUUGGGCCUCUCAGAAGGAUCUCUCUUUGCAUUAUCUCUCCCUUCAUCUACAACAAUAUAAUAGUAUUAAUUAUAUGUUAUAUAGUAAAUGUAAUAUUACUAAUAAUAUUUCCAUAUAAUGAUAUAGUAAAAGGUAAAGGUUUCCCUUGUAGUUAAGUCCAGUCAUGUCCGACUCUGGGGGUUGGUGCUCAUCUCCAUUUCUAAGCUGAAGAGCCGGCGUUGUCCGUAGAUACCUCCAAGGUCAUGUGGCUGGCAUGACUGCAUGGAGCGCCGUUACCUUCCUGCCAGAGCGGUACCUAUUGAUCUACUCACAUUGGCAUGUUUUCGAACUGCUAGGUUGACAGAAGCUGGAGCUAACAGCGGGCACUCACUCCACUCCCGGGAUUUGAACCUGCGACCUUUCGGUCUGCAAGUUCAGCAGCUCAUGAUAUAGUAUAUAUAGUACAGUAUAGUAAUUUAAUGCUUAUAUUGUGCUAUGCUAAUAAUAUCUUGUAUGUACAUUUGAUUUGUAAGCCGCUCUGAGUCCCCCCCGGGGUGAGAAGAGCGGGAUAUAAAUGUAGUAAAUAAAUAAUAAAUAAUCAUGCUGGCCAAUUGCAACAUUCAAACUUGCCUUAAACCAGGGGUCCCCAAACUAAGGCCCGGGGGCCGGAUGCGGCCCAUCGAAGCCAUUAAUCCGGCCCCCACUGCACAAGGGCAGAAGGGGGAUGGGCUAAAUGACCCAAGGGGUCUCUUCUUCUCUUACAACCCUUAAUAUUAAUAUUGAGGCUGGGUGCUUUCAGGGGUGCUUUGCUUGUGCUUUUGGUGCACAGAGGCAGAAGGGGGUUGGACUCAAUGGCCCAAGGGGUUUCUUCCAACACUCUUCAUUAUUAUUAUUAUUAUUAACAUUGAGGCUGGGAGGCCAUCUGUCAGGGGUGCUUUGCUUGUUCUUUCGGUGCACAAACGCAGAAGGGGAUUGGACUCAAUGGCCCAAGGGUCUUUUGUUGUUGUUGUUAUUAUUAUUAUUAACAUUGAGGCUGUUCUUUCAGUGCACAAAGGCAGAAGGGGGUUGGACUCAAUGGCCCAUACAAUAAAAUAAUAAUUAUUUUAUUGUAUGACACCGCAAACAAGAUAGAUAUGCUGGAUUUCGUUUCACAAAAUCACAAGUCGAACACUUCCCAAGUGUCUAGGACUGUGUGAUAUAUUUUCGGAUGAUGCGCGCAGAUCCCAGCAGGGUGGCCUUUUGCAGUUAUUAUUGUUGUUGUUGUUGUUGUUGUUGUUGACAUUGAGGCUGGGAGGCCAUCCGUCAGGGGUGCUUUGCUUGUUCUUUCAGUGCACAAAGGCAGAAGGGGAUUGGACUCAAUGGCCCAAGGGUCUAUUAUUAUUAUUAUUAUUAUUAUUAUUAUUAUUAUUAUUAACAUUGAGGCUGGGAGGCCAUCUGUCAGGGGUGCUUUGCUUGUUCUUUCAGUGCACUAAGGCAGAAGGGGAUUGGACUCAAAGGCUCUCUUCCAAUCCUCAUCAUCAUUAUUAUUAUUAUUAUUAUUAUUUAUUGCUCGGUGGCCAACUAUAGUCCGGCCCUCCAACGGUCCAAAGGAUCAUGAACUGGCCCCCUGUUUAAAAAGUUUGGGGACCCCUGCCUUAAACAGACAAGAGUUCUUUCUCCCACCCUGGACCUUCCACAGAUAUAUAAGCCCCACUUGCUUAGUUUCCAAUAGGCCUCACUGAGAGAGACGUGGGUUUAAAAAGAGAAUUUUCAAAGAUACUUCUAAUGACUAUAAGUCCCAUAUGUUCUGAUAGACUGCUAUUUGACCUAAUUUGCAAAAGGCUUUUGUGAGGCCUAUGUUUGAGUGAGGCCUAUGUUUGAGAGAAAAAACAUUGAUGUUUGGAAAAAGAGUUGUUGCAGAAAGGACAUAACUGGUUAGAUAGUACUCCCUAAGGUUCCCAGUGGUUUUGGACUUAUGCUUGCAACAGAAGUAGAUGAGCAGGUGCAGUAUUCAGGGUCAGAAAACAUGAAAGUGAAGGAGCAAAGAUGUAAAAGAUGUAAAAAUACUCCUCUGAAUCCAAAGUCAAAAUCAGGAGGCCCCUUUUCUGUGGAGAGGGCGAGGAAGGACACCAUGAAAGUUGGAUCUUCAAACUGCAAAAGAACUAUUUAUUGCGAGCUUAGCAAUAACGACAAAAACAUGCAUACAUCAAUGCAAUCAAUAAAAGGAUUUGUUGCCCUUUCAAAAUGGUUGCAAGGGUUUUUAUCACUUCUACAGAAAAUAGUAAGCAUAUCCUUAUUGGCUUACAAAAAUCAUUUACCCCAUUCGUCUAAUGUGGGCUGCAUCACAAGCUUCUUAAUCAUCAUGCAAUUCCAUUGGUUUUCUAUGCUGUAACAACAUGUGACUCUUUAGACAAUGGUGCUUUUCAUGUUACUGACCCUGAUCUCAGCACCAACUUGUCUUCCUCUUGUUGCAGUUAUAGGUUUGAAACGAUAUGGGAAUCAUAGGUAGUAGUGGCUAACCGGUUCUGACUUGAUGUAUUAUUAUUAUUGAAAGUAACUUUUUUUUCCUCUGGAACAACAAGAGAGAUUGCAGUUGAUGCCAUCUCCUAAGAUGUAACGAGAGCACCUGCUUGUCCGAUUUUGAUGGAUUCAUUUCAAUUUGUACAACCCGAGGAGGUGAGUGUGUUCCUGCUGGUUCUCCUGGAUCUCUCAGCAGCCUGCGAUACAGUAGACUACAGUAUCCUUCUGGGUUGCCUUGCUGGAAUGGGCCUUGGGGGUACUGUUUUGCAGUGGCUCCAGUCCUUCCUUGUGGACCGUACCCAGAAAGUGUUGAUAGGGGACAGCUGUUCAACCCCACAACCAUUGUCUUGUGGAGUCUCACAGGGUUCAGUACUGUCCCCUCUGUUGUUUAACAUCUACAUGAAGCCGCUGGGUGAGAUCAUCCAGAGUUUUGGCGUUCGGUGUUAUCUGUACGCGGAUGAUGUCCAACUCUAUCACUCCUUUUUUCCAGUGUCCAAGGGGGGCCGUCCAGAUCCUGAACCGGUGCCUGGCUGCUGUGUCGGACUGGAUGAGGAUGAACAAAUUGAAGUUGAAUCCAGAUAAGACAGAGAAAAGACUCCUUUGUAACUUUGUAGAAAAGACGGUCUGGGUGACAGUCAACAAUCGCAUUCUGGCUUGUUGGAGUAAGCGAAGCAUCCCCCAGAAGACCUCAAUGUCCAGAGUGGGUUGUGUGGUUUUAAUAACUGGUUCUAAUGUUUUAUAAAUUAAAACAUUAAAUUAAAAAGCAAUAUACGUUAUUUCUAUUGUGUUUGUUCAUAUGGCAUCGAAUUGCUGCCUAAGGCCGCUCUGAAUCCCCUUCAGGAUGAGAAGGGUGGGGUGCAAAUAUUGUAAAUAAAUAAAUAUACUGGUUCCAGGAUCUCCAAUCUAAUCAUUGGCAUACUGGAACCGAUUCUAUGUCAGUUUGAAACUGACCUAAGUGCUCAGUGUAGAUGUGGCCAUGGUCUGGCUCUAUAUGCCCUAUUUUUCAUCUGUGACAUGUUAGAGAGUAUGAGAGGUAUUUUCUUCCAUGUUAAAAAAAUCAAGCUAUUUCCAUCAAAUUUAUGUGUUGAUAUUGUCAAGUUAUUCUCAAAAACGUAACUGAACAACAAAAAUGGUAAUCAUCUGUAUUGGCCAAAGUUAGUAGGCAUGGUUCUUUGUCACACAAACAUGGUUGUAACAUACUUGUCUGCUAUUUAGCUGUUGUAUAUGAGAAACCAAUUAAUGAAGAAGUAUUGGAAAAUAAUGGAGCCCCGGUGGCAAAGUGGGUUAAAGCACUGAGCUGCUGAACUUGCAGAAUGAAAGGUCCCAGGUUCAAACCCCAGGAGUGGCGUGAGCGGCCACUGUUAACUCCAGCUUCUGCCAACCUAGCAGUUCGAAAACAUGCCAAUGUGAGUACAUCAAUAGGUACCGCUCCGGCGGAAAGGUAACGGCGCUCCAUGCAGUCAUGCCGGCCACAUGACCUUGGAGGUGUCUAUGGACAACGCUGGCUCUUCGGCUUAGAAAUGGAGAUGAGCACCAACCCCCAGAGUCAGACAUGACUGGACUUAACGUCAGGGGAAACUUUUACCUUUUAUUGCAAAAUAUAGAUUUUCAGACAUACAUUUUAUGCACAUUAGAAGCACUGAAAUGCAGAAAAAUCAGCCUCUCUGUGUGUUAGAUUCUAAGGAUGCACAAGCUGGCAGGACAAGGAGGAGAAGGGGGGCCUGUUAUCUAUACAUUCCAGUGCACGAUGGUCCCUGUAACAGCUAAUGGAGGGAGAAUGGAUUUCUCUCUCCUGACAAGUCAAAAGUAGGCCCCUGAUCGAUGUCUAUAGCUGAACCCUAGUUAUCUGUAACUGGCUGCAGGCUGCUUUUAGAGUGCUUAGAUAGGAAAAUGCUGAGACAUGCAUAUAUAUGUCCAUGUAUGUAGACAUGUGAAGUGACGUACUGAUGACGACAUGUAUGUAAGAGCAUGUUUCUUUGUUUGCCUGUAUUUGAAAAUGUAUAAAAGGGAAAGUAAAUGCCUUUAUCCUCGCUCUGGUUUGCUUUUGGAGGGAAUUCCACAUCAGAGCCUCAGCUGAAAAAAACUGUCCUUUUUGGCUUCAACAAAGGAUCUUUCUUGGUGUUAUCUCUCCUAUCAGCCACAACACAAUUAGGAAACAAAGGAGACAACACAGUUGAACUGUUCCGUCCCCCAGGACGAUGGUUUGCCUUACCUAUUGGUCGUUUGUUUGUUUUCCCUCCUUUACAUUUUGUUUGAGCCUCUGGCUGCAAAAGCCUAGGAAAAGUGGCUUGGAAUCUGCAAGAGCUGGCUGCAGUUUUCUUUGCAGUGAUUGGUCAAAGAAUGCAACAUCUUAGGACCGCCCUUUUUACCAGGGUCUAGUCUCCAUUUUGGAGCUUCAUUCUGGCUAUAGUCUUCCAACGUGCUGGAGCUGUGCAAGGCUAACUGGGACAAAUCAUCCUCAAAACCAGGCCAAUCUAAGCCUAUCCAAAUUAGAUAAGUAUUGAAUUAUACUGAUCUGGAAUAGGAAAUCUAGUUAGAGGAGCAGGGUUAUUCCAUCGCUUCUAGAACUAAUCUUUGCUGUAAAGAUAGGGAAGGAAAGAGUUUCUCCUUCUAAUAUAGGCAGCGUGAUUAGGGUAUAGUGGUUUUAUAAUCACCUUUGCUUUCUGGAACCAGGGAUAAUUCUGUACCUAAAACCUAUAGAAAUUUGUUUCAUUUUCUGCAACUUUAAGAUCUGUGCCAGGUUUACAACCUUGUAUGAAUAAACAUCCUUUUUUGAAGUUA